UACGAAGGGAGCUAGCGUUGUUCGGAAUCACUGGGCGUAAAGCGCACGUAGGCGGCUUUGUCAGUCAGGGGUGAAAUCCCGGGGCUCAACCUCGGAACUGCCUUUGAUACAGCAAGUCUUGAGUUCGAGAGAGGUGGGUGGAAUUCCUAGUGUAGAGGUGAAAUUCGUAGAUAUUAGGAAGAACACCGGUGGCGAAGGCGGCCCACUGGGUGGAUACUGACGCUGAGGUGCGAAAGCGUGGGGAGCAAACAGG
rnacentral:rRNA from 1 species